rnacentral:ncRNA from 1 species
UGAGCGCUAGCCAAACCUGUCGCGAGGCAGGGCCGGAAAGCCACGGGUCUUGUAGGCAAGAUAGCCGGGUUGCUGUGU